UAACACUACAUCCAGAAGCAUCAAUUGGGA
rnacentral:piRNA from 1 species